UGCCGGCAACGCGCUUCAGUCAGUGUCAGGCAUAUCAGGCCGCGGCCGUGCAUGGCCAUGAAAUUGAUGGCUUCAGCAUUGAUGGCGUCAGCCGCCAUGAUCA
rnacentral:antisense_RNA from 1 species